GUGUAACAAGGUUUCCGUAGGUGAACCUGCGGAAGGAUCAUUGUCGA
rnacentral:rRNA from 1 species